rnacentral:tRNA from 1 species
GGCAAGGUGGUGCAGUGGAUAGCACUGUCACCUUACAGCAAGAAGGGCCUGGGUUCGAAUCCCGACCGCGACA